UGGGCGUUAAGUUGCAGGGUAUAGACCCGAAACCCGGUGAUCUAGCCAUGGGCAGGUUGAAGGUUGGGUAACACUAACUGGAGGACCGAACCGACUAAUGUUGAAAAAUUAGCGGAUGACCUGUGGCUGGGGGUGAAAGGCCAAUCAAACCGGGAGAUAGCUGGUUCUCCCCGAAAGCUAUUUAGGUAGCGCCUCGUGAAUUCAUCUCCGGGGGUAGAGCACUGUUUCGGCUAGGGGGCCAUCCCGGCUUACCAACCCGAUGCAAACUGCGAAUACCGGAGAAUGUUAUCACGGGAGACACACGGCGGGUGCUAACGUCCGUCGUGAAGAGGGAAACAACCCAGACCGCCAGCUAAGGUCCCAAAGUCAUGGUUAAGUGGGAAACGAUGUGGGAAGGCCCAGACAGCCAGGAUGUUGGCUUAGAAGCAGCCAUCAUUUAAAGAAAGCGUAAUAGCUCACUGGUCGAGUCGGCCUGCGCGGAAGAUGUAACGGGGCUAAACCAUGCACCGAAGCUGCGGCAGCGAACGUAUCACCCAAGACAACUUUACGGAGUUGACGAUUGACGGAGCGAAGCGACGUCAAAGCGUUCAUUAAAGUCGAGUUGGCUUAGGGAUACGUUCGUUGGGUAGGGGAGCGUUCUGUAAGCCUGUGAAGGUGUGUCGUGAGGCAUGCUGGAGGUAUCAGAAGUGCGAAUGCUGACAUAAGUAACGAUAAAGCGGGUGAAAAGCCCGCUCGCCGGAAGACCAAGGGUUCCUGUCCAACGUUAAUCGGGGCAGGGUGAGUCGACCCCUAAGGCGAGGCCGAAAGGCGUAGUCGAUGGGAAACGGGUUAAUAUUCCCGUACUUGGUGUUACUGCGAAGGGGGGACGGAGAAGGCUAUGUUGGCCGGGCGACGGUUGUCCCGGUUUAAGCGUGUAGGUGUGUGUUCCAGGUAAAUCCGGUUCACUUUAACACUGAGGCGUGAUGACGAGGCACUACGGUGCUGAAGCAACAAAUGCCCUGCUUCCAGGAAAAGCCUCUAAGCAUCAGGUAACAUCAAAUCGUACCCCAAACCGA
rnacentral:rRNA from 1 species